GGAGAGGUAACGGCUCACCAAGGCAUCGACGGGUAGCUGGUCUGAGAGGACGAUCAGCCACACUGGGACUGAGACACGGCCCAGACUCCUACGGGAGGCAGCAGUAGGGAAUCUUGCGCAAUGGGCGAAAGCCUGACGCAGCAACGCCGCGUGAGGGAUGAAGGCCUUCGGGUCGUAAACCCCCUUCAGCAGGGACGAAAAUGACGGUACCUGCAGAAGAAGGUCCGGCCAACUACGUGCCAGCAGCCGCGGUAAUACGUAGGGACCAAGCGUUGUCCGGAAUUAUUGGGCGUAAAGAGCUCGUAGGCGGUUCGGUAAGUCGGGUGUGAAAAUCCAGGGCUCAACCCUGGGACGCCACCCGAUACUGCUGUGACUAGAGUCCGGUAGAGGAGCGUGGAAUUCCUGGUGUAGCGGUGAAAUGCGCAGAUAUCAGGAGGAACACCAGCGGCGAAGGCGGCGCUCUGGGCCGGUACUGACGCUGAGGAGCGAAAGCAUGGGGAGCAAACAGGAUUAGAUACCCUGGUAGUCCAUGCCGUAAACGGUGGGCACUAGGUAUGGGACCCUAUCAACGAGUUCCGUGCCGUAGCUAACGCAUUA
rnacentral:rRNA from 1 species